CUGCUUUAAAGAAUCCCAAUGGGAGUCUUUAAAAGAAUUUUUAAAGUAUAAAAUUAAAUAAUAAACAUUUUUUUUAAAUAGAAAGGGAAGAAAAAUAAAAAGAUGAAAUCCCUGCAUGCUUCUUUUACCUCCCCAGAGUGUAAUCCAUAUCUUGGUUCACUAAGAUCUGCCGACGAAUGUAGGAAGCCUCGGACCAAGCCACAUCUCAGUGAUAAUCACAGAUUUUUUUGUCUAUGUGUUACUAACAAAUCUGUCAUUUCAUUCAAAAUAUUUUUUUUCUGGGACUAAAAUAUGAUGACAGCAAUCAAAAUAUUUUCUAAGAUUUUACACCAUCAUGAUGAAUACGUGAUGUCAGAAGAUGCUCUGGACUCGUGAGCUAAUUUUUACAGCAACCCUAAACUUUCAAGAAUAGUUUAAAACUACUUUUGCCCUUCAGCUUAUUAUAAUUCCAUAAUUCUCAAAAUUUAUGUAAAUUGUAUCUUUAUUAAAAAAAAAAAAAAGCCUGAACACCAGGGUUUGAAUGCAAGGUAUGCUUCAGAAAAGGUAUGAUCACAGUUUUUUGAGUAGGUAGGGAAGAACAUUUAAAAUAAAAUUUGAAUAAAACCAUUUAGAUUAAAAAAA
rnacentral:lncRNA from 1 species